UUUAUUUUCCAUUAAGUUUAAAUGGUUUUAAAUCGUUUGUGUUAUUAGAAUAUCGCUGUUAGUACAUAGAUUCCAUGACCACUAAAAUUUCUGUGCAAUACGGUGACUUUUUGGUUUUUAUGCCGGAGCAACGGAGACCGGAAGCGCUGAAAGUACAGUACCUCCUGUGAGUCUCCGGCUUCUAAUUUAAAGGAAUCUUUGGUCACCGGAUGGUAUAAAAACCACGAAAGGAUCCAAUCAGAUUAGAAGAGGCCAAAGUACUGUGCGCCUACCAAUUUAUAAUGAAUGUUACCGGUUUCAAUGAUGUAAUUUGAAUUGGAAGCAAUUGGAAAAAUCUUUCGGUCCAGAUGAGCAUGAACAACGACGAAAGUUGAGUAUUUUUCCAGCAGACCAGACCCUUCCUUAUUUCGAAAAAUUCACUUCGACGAUUAUUAAAAAGGCAAUAAACACGAAGAAAUGCAUGAUCUGGACGAGG